UCUCCGUUGGUGAACCAGCGGAGGGAUCAUUAUCGAGUGUAAAAACUCACCAAACCCUGUGAAUAUACCUUCUGUUGCUUCGGCGGGAUCGCCCCGGGCGCCUUCGUGUGCCCCGGAUCCAGGCGCCCGCCGGAGGACCUAAACUCUUGUUUUUAUGAGAUUUAUCUGAGUGGCUUUAUAGCAAAAAUGAAUCAAAACUUUCAACAACGGAUCUCUUGGUUCUGGCAUCGAUGAAGAACGCAGCGAAAUGCGAUAAGUAAUGUGAAUUGCAGAAUCCAGUGAAUCAUCGAAUCUUUGAACGCACAUUGCGCCCGCCAGUAUUCUGGCGGGCAUGCCUGUCUGAGCGUCAUUUCAACCCUCGUAACCAGCUUGCUGGAUGCGGUGUUGGGGAUCGGCCACCCGUACCGGGAGGCCGUCCCUUAAAUAGAGUGGCGGUUGCGCUGUGACCUCCUCUGCGUAGUAGCAAUAUCUCGCAGGCGGAUAGCGGUGUAACCACGCCGUAAAACCCCCAACUCUUCUUUGGUUGACCUCAGAUCAGGUAGGAAUACCCGCUGAACUUAA
rnacentral:rRNA from 1 species